rnacentral:rRNA from 1 species
GAUGAACGCUGGCGGCGUGCCUAAUACAUGCAAGUCGAGCGAAGCGGGGACGCGUGAGUAACACGUGUAUAACCCCCUUUAAGACUGGGAUAACCUAGGGAAAACGGAGCCAAUCCGGCCACUUAUCGCUGGAUCCGCUCUGCAUUAGCUAGUUGGUAAGGUAACGGCUUACAAAGGCAACGAUGCAUAGCCGAACUGAGAGGGUGAUCAGCCACACUGGAACUGAGACACGGUCCAGACUCCUACGGGAGGCAGCAGUAGGGAAUCUUCCGCAAUGGGCGAAAGCCUGACGGAGCAACGCCGCGUGAGUGAUGAAGGUCUUCGGAUCGUAAAGCUCUGUUAGUGGGGAAGCGGUACCUAAUCAGAAAGCCACGGCUAACUACGUGCCAGCAGCCGCGGUAAUAC